rnacentral:rRNA from 1 species
UGGGGAAUAUUGCACAAUGGGCGCAAGCCUGAUGCAGCCAUGCCGCGUGUGUGAAGAAGUCCUUCGGGUUGUAAAGCACUUUCAGCGGGGAGGAAGGCGGUGAGGUUAAUAACCUCAUCGAUUGACGUUACCCGCAGAAGAAGCACCGGCUAACUCCGUGCCAGCAGCCGCGGUGAUACGGAGGGUGCAAGCGUUAAUCGGAAUUACUGGGCGUAAAGCGCACGCAGGCGGUCUGUCAAGUCGGAUGUGAAAUCCCCGGGCUCAACCUGGGAACUGCAUUCGAAACUGGCAGGCUAGAGUCUUGUAGAGGGGGGUAGAAUUCCAGGUGUAGCGGUGAAAUGCGUAGAGAUCUGGAGGAAUACCGGUGGCGAAGGCGGCCCCCUAGACAAAGACUGACGCUCAGGUGCGAAAGCGUGGGGAGCAAACAGG